GAACAGGCAGCGCAGCACCCGAGCGCCGGGUGGAGAGGCCGGCCGAGCCCGGGGAAAGCGACCUUACUCUGUCACCUGGGCUGGAGUGCAGUGGCGCAAAUUAAAGUGUGCAGUUUGAUACAUCUUGACACAUGUAUACACUGUGAAACCAUCAUCACAAUCAACAGUGAAGAUGUUCCUCCCGUCUCUCUGUAACCCUUUCCUCUCUCCCUCCUUCCCUCCUCCCCCUCCCACCCAUCUGCUUUUUGUCACUAUAGUUUGAAUUUCCUGGAGUUUUUAAAUAUCUUUUUAUACAGACUGGGUCUCGCUUGCUCUGUCACCCAGGCGGGAGUGCAGUGACACGAUCGGGACCCACUGUAGCCUCAAACUCCUGCCCUUAAGCAAUCCAACUGCUUCAGCCUCCCGAGUAGCUGAGACUGCAGGUGAGGACCGCCAUGUCUAGCUUUUUGUUUUUUUUUAAACAUAUGGGGUCUCUCUGUGUUGCCCAGCCUGCUCUGGAACUCCUAGCUUCAAUUGACCCUCUGCCUCAGCCUCCCAAAGUGUUGGGAUUGCAGAUGUGAGCCACUGUGCCCAACCUGUUUUUCUUGGUGUUUUAUAUAAAUGGAAUUGUAUCGCACGUAAUCUUUAGGGAAGUGGGGGCUGUUCAUUGAGCAUAAUUAUGUUGGAAUUCAUCUAUAUAUUGAUAAAUAUUUUAAGUGCUUUUUAUUGCUGAGCGGUGUCUAGGAGUCAUUCUUGCUUACCCUUUCCCACUGCAGCCUUCACUCAAUCUCAUCAAAGAUCUAGCUCCAAUAUAUAAACCAAAUCCAAGCCAUUCCCACGUAUAUUACCCCUGAGCCAUGCUCUCUCACCUAGAUUACAGAUACAGCCUAGUACCUGGUCAUCCUCCAAUCAGUUUUGUCUACAGCCAUGCGAGUCUUCUCUCUAUGCCUUAAAUAAGACAAAUGUAUUCCAGCUCUUUUGAAUAUUUCCAAUUGUGAAAUGUUCCUCUUUAUUUCUAAUAAUGCUUGCUAUUGUCAACUUUGCCUCAUAUGUAAAU
rnacentral:lncRNA from 10 species